UUGGCGGAAGGGUGAGUAAGGCGACGGUAAUCAACCCCAUGGUUGGGUAUAGCCGCGGGAAACUGCGGGUAAUCCCCAGCGACGUCCGGAUCGGGCAUCCGAAUCGGACCAAAGUCCUGGCGCCGUGGACGAGCCGUCGUGGUAUUAGGUCGUUGGCGGGGUAAUGGCCCACCAAGCCUAUGAUGCCUACCGGGCGUGCGAGCGUGGCCCGGCACACUGGGACUGAGACACUGCCCAGACUCCUACGGGAGGCUGCAGUCGAGAAUCUUCGGCAAUGGGCGCAAGCCUGACCGAGCGACGCCGCGUGGAGGAUGAAGGCCUUCGGGUUGUAAACUCCUGUCGAGGGGGAAGAAGGUCGGGUAACCGGCUUGACCGAUCCCUGGAGGAAGCACGGGCUAAGUUCGUG
rnacentral:rRNA from 1 species